GUUAUUCCUUUUCAGGAUAUGUAAGACGAAGCUUCAGGAGGGUUAUGUUAUUUUCUGUUCGGUCUUUUUGUAUUACCGUAGCUAUUGCUUUCCCUCGCCUUUAUCUUUAUUAAGUUUGUAAGAGGGAUAGGAAAUUAUGAUAUGUAUAUUUGUAAACUAGUGUUAUGUAUAUAUAUAUAUAUAUAUAUAUAUAUAUAUGUAUCUGAUUUGUAUGUACAUGUAUGUUUAUAUUUUCACGAAAAAGAGUUAUUGAAAGGUUAUGCAGUUUUAAGUUUUAAA